rnacentral:rRNA from 1 species
GACGACGCUGGCGGCGUGCCUAAUACAUGCAAGUAGGACGAGUUGCGAACGGGUGAGUAACGCGUGGUAACCUGCCUAUUAGAGGGGGAUAACUAUUGGAAACGAUAGCUAAUACCGCAUACCAUCGGAUGUGCCCAGAUGGGAUUAGCUAGUGGGGGGGGGAAAGGCCCACCGAGGCGACGAUCCCUAGCUGGUCUGAGAGGAGGACCAACGACACUGGAACUGAGAAACGGUCCAGCCUCCUACGGGAGGCAGAAGUGGGGAAUAUUGCACAAUGGGCGCAAGCCUGAUGCAGCCAUGCCGCGUGGAUGAAGAAGGCCUUCGGGUUGUAAAGUACUUUCAGCGGGGAGGCGUUACCCGCAGAAGAAGCACCGGCUAACUCCGUGCCAGCAGCCGCGGUAAUUC